AUUGAAGGUUCUUCCUUUGACAUACUACGCAUAAGAGCAGUGUCUUUGACUUGAUCCUAAUGUACGAUACGAUGAGGGUGGGUGGAGUCCACACGUCCAUAAAUAUGGAGAAAAGCACAUUUUAAAGAAACAAAUCCUCCUAUUUAUGAAGUGCAACAGUGAACGACAUUUCGGAUAUGAUGAAGGU